rnacentral:rRNA from 1 species
CAGCACGGGGUAGCAAUACUUUGGUGGCGACCGGCGCACGGGUGAGUAACACGUAUGUAACCUACCUUGUACUGGGGGAUAGCCCGGAGAAAUUCGGAUUAAUACCCCAUGAUUAUAUAUAGAGGCAUCUUUUUAUAUUUAAAGUUUCGACGGUACAGGAUGGGCAUGCGCAACAUUAGCUAGUUGGUAGGGUAACGGCCUACCAAGGCUACGAUGUUUAGGGGACCUGAGAGGGUGAUCCCCCACACUGGUACUGAGACACGGACCAGACUCCUACGGGAGGCAGCAGUGAGGAAUAUUGGUCAAUGGGCGCAAGCCUGAACCAGCCAUCCCGCGUGCAGGAAGACGGCGCUAUGCGUUGUAAACUGCUUUUCCAGGGAAAGAAAACCCCCGACGUGUCGGGGCUUGCCGGUACCCUGGGAAUAAGCAUCGGCUAACUCCGUGCCAGCAGCCGCGGUAAUACGGAGGAUGCGAGCGUUAUCCGGAUUUAUUGGGUUUAAAGGGUGCGUAGGCGGAUUAAUAAGUCAGUGGUGAAAACCUUCAGCUUAACUGGAGACUUGCCAUUGAUACUGUUAGUCUUGAGUACGGUCAAGGUAGGCGGAAUGUGUAAUGUAGCGGUGAAAUGCUUAGAUAUUACACAGAACACCGAUUGCGAAGGCAGCUUACUGGGCCAUUACUGACGCUGAUGCACGAAAGCGUGGGGAGCGAACAGGAUUAGAUACCCUGGUAGUCCACGCCGUAAACGAUGAUCACUCGCUG